GAUGAACGCUGGCGGCGUGCCUAAUACAUGCAAGUCGAGCGAACAGAUGAGGAGCUUGCUCCUCUGACGUUAGCGGCGGACGGGUGAGUAACACGUGGAUAACCUACCUAUAAGACUGGGAUAACUUCGGGAAACCGGAGCUAAUACCGGAUAAUAUAUUGAACCGCAUGGUUCAAUAGUGAAAGACGGUUUUGCUGUCACUUAUAGAUGGAUCCGCGCCGCAUUAGCUAGUUGGUAAGGUAACGGCUUACCAAGGCAACGAUGCGUAGCCGACCUGAGAGGGUGAUGCGCGACAGGGGAACUGAGACACGGUCCAGACUCCUACGGGAGGCAGCAGUAGGUAAUCGUCCGAAAUGGGCGAAAGCCUGACGGAUCAACGCCGCGUGAGUGAUGAAGGUCUUCGGAUCGUAAAACUCUGUUAUUAGGGAAGAACAAAUGUGGAAGUAACUAUGCACGUCUUGACGGUACCUAAUCAGAAAGCCACGGCUAACUACGUG
rnacentral:rRNA from 1 species